rfam:Bombyx mori DNA, contig: Bm_scaf76_contig32036, strain: p50T/Dazao, build 2, whole genome shotgun sequence.
UUAACUUAAAUUUGUAUGAAGUUGGAACGUUUGCCUGCGUUUGCCGCUAGGGGCGCUGUUCCAACUUUAUACAAAUUUCUGUAU